GUGCAUGUGCGGGGGGCGUUGUUGUUGGUUUGCCCCCCAAAAUUUGGAGCAUCAGCCAGCACUGCACGUUUGUUAUUUUAUUUUUUAGCAUUUAUAAUGGCUUUAAGGGGUGGUGGGGAUUAGGGGUUUCUUCAAGGUGAAGUUGGAUUUUAGGAAUCCUUUUCUUUUUCUGGCCUUGACUCUUGCAGUACUCAGCUCUGGCAAUGGACUAUUAAAUCUGCACCAUAAAAUAUAAUUAUAUACAACAAAAAACACAGAGAACUUGUAUUAGAAAAUAAUUGUUACCUUCGGUCCUCACUUCCCAUUCUGAGGGUAACGUGGUCAUUGAGCAAACCUUGUUAGAUAAGUCAAAUGUACAGUAUAGACCGUUCAGUACCGUAUCAUGCAUGUUGUUGUGGGAGGAGACAGGAAGCAAAAAACUGUCUAAUUAUUGCACAUUAUGUGGAUGAGUAGUUAGUUACAGAUGUAGAGGGGAUCAGCAGAUAACAGGCACACAAUCUUUGCAGAUCUCAUAUGAAAAAAAAUACAACAUUUAUAUAAACAGAUUUGUUCUUGCCCAGAUGCUAUAACUUUGCAACAUGUUCAGAGAACUUUUUGCCAUUUUAUUAAUAAACAUUCUUCCGGGUCUGUGCCAGGAGGUGAAGGUCGAUCAGGGUCAUAAGCUUCUAAUAGUCAAAAAAGGGGAUCCAGUGGAGCUUUCAUGCAAGCAUUAUACUGAGACUAAUUAUGUUAUGUAUUGGUACCAGCACAAAGCAGGAGAAGGUCUGCAGCUUAUGGUAUAUUCAACAGAUGCCAAAUCGGGUGAAAUGGAAACGUUGUACAAAGCCUGGACUUUUAAUAGGCCUCACAUUCUGAAUUCCACACUGAGCCUGGCGGCAGCAGAUCCUCGGCUCUCUGCUGUGUAUUUCUGUGCAGUCAGUAGGCACAGCUGCAAACAGCGAAUUAUUUGCUGGCAUAAAACCUGCCAAUCUCAGAGGACACGUUAUAUUGAUGACAUACAUUACUAUUCACAGGAAGGCCAGCAGGGGGGCAGUUUUCUGUUUUCUCUACACACACUUUAUACUAGAGCCUAUUAAUAAAGGAUUACUAUUGUUACUAUUUGUUUCCUGUAAGAAAACAAAUGUAGAAAACUUUUAUAUCUGCAAUAAAAAAAAUG